rnacentral:tRNA from 1 species
AGAAGAUAAGGCUUCACCACUCUGACUUGAAAUUAGAGACAGAACGUUCGACCCGUUCAUCUUCUU